CGGUGCCGAUGAUGAUGGCGAACACCACGGUCACCAGCCGGUCGGCGCCCUGAUAGCCACUGCGCUGCAGCGUCAGCGCGAACAGCGAGCUGACCGCCG
rnacentral:snoRNA from 1 species